GAGAGAGAGAGAGAGAAAAUCUCUCACAGAACAGAAAUCCUCAACAUUUUCAUGUACGCCUUUUGCUGCUUUUCAAAAAGUAAACCAAAUUAAUAAUAAAAUAUAAAUAAUACUUAUACUCACAAUGAUCAUUUAUAUUUACAUUAUAUUAUAUAUCAUAUAUUUCCCCUAAUCUUACUUUUUCCAACAGCAAAAAAUCAUAAUCGAAGUAUUUGUUUAUUUAGUACUCAGCUCAAUUCAACAUAAAAACCACCAAAUUAGUGUGUGCUCUCGUUUACAUGUUCUAGCUAUAUUUAAAGGAGAAGCAUGACGAGGCUGAGCCGUGAUUUUAGCUAUAAAACACAAAGAGAUGCAGCUUCCCCAGUGUCAGUAGAUGUGAUUUUUGCAUCCAGUCGAUUUCCAAAUUACGGAUCUAGAGCAAAUAGCAACAUACUAGAGGUGAAGGAAGAUGCUAAGUUAGCUUCCAUGAAGGAAGGUGUUCGAAAUGAGACUGCCAAGUUGAUAGAUCAGGAGAAUCGCCUAUCUGUUCGUGAUCUUGCUAGUAAAUUUGAAAAGGGCUUAGCUGCGGCUGCUAAGUUAUCUGAUGAGGCUAAAUUUCGAGAUGUGGCCUCAUUAGAGAAACAUGUGCUUUUAGAAAAUCUUAGAGAUGCACUCGAGUCCUUGAGAGAGCGUGCAGCGGGUAAAACCAAGGAUGAUGUUAACGAGGCUAUUGCUAUGGUUGAUUCUUUGGCGGUUCAAUUGACUGAGAGGGAAGGAGAGUUGGUUCAAGAGAAGGAUGAGGUUAAAAAGCUUGCAACUUUUUUGAAGCAGGCUUCAGCAGAUGCAAAAAGGCUUGUUGAUGAAGAAAGAGCAUUUGCACGAACUGAAAUUGAGAAGGCUAGAGCUGCAGUUCAGAGAGUUGAAGAGGCUCUUCAGGAGCAAGAAAGAAUGUCCCGAGCUACUGGGAAGCAGGAUGUGGAAGAACUAAUGAAGGAGGUUCAGGAGGCUAGACGGAUCAAGAUGCUGCAUCAGCCCAGUAAGGUUAUGGAUAUGGAACAUGAGCUUCUAGCAUUACGAACUCAACUAGCAGAGACGUCAAAGUGUUCACUGCAGCUCCUGAAAGAGUUGGCGAUGAGCAAGCGGGGAGCGGAAAACACACCAUACGUCUUUGAAUUAGAUGGUAUAGAGGCUUUAGGUUCGUUUUUGCAGAUUCUGCCAUGUUCCAGUAAAGCUCCAGAACUUCUAGACUGUUUGAUCCAGUGGUAUCGCUUGGCAUCUGAAGAUGGAAAAAAGGACCUUAUUUCAGGUGCUACUAAACCAAUUUAUGCUCCUGAGCCCUCAGAUGUUGGCCGAGUGCUUCAAGCCGAGGUCAUGUCAGACGGAACAAGUAUCACAUUGACUACUUCUGGUCCCAUAGAUCCAGCUGCAGGACUAGGAAACUAUGUGGAAGCAUUGGUACGGCGGCAUGAUACCGAGUUUAAUGUGGUUAUUGUCCAAAUGAAUGGGGAUGAACAUCCCUCAGAGUCUAUUCAUGUGCUUCAUGUAGGAAGGAUGAGGAUGAAACUUUGUAAGGAAAAGACAACACUGGCCAAAGAAUUCUAUUCGCCUUUUAUGCAGCUUUGCGGAGUUAGAGGUGGUGGUAACGCUGCAGCUCAGGCAGCAUUCUGGCAACCAAAGACAGGGAUCUCCUUUGUACUUGCAUUUGAGUCAGAAAGAGAAAGAAAUGCUGCCAUUAUGCUAGCGCGCAGAUUCGCCUUCGAUUGUAAUAUCAUGCUUGCUGGCCCUGAUGAUAAAGUAACACAGAAAACAACUUAACUGUUUAAGUUAAUUUGUUUUGUUGUGUUUAGAAUUUGUAAUUAUAUCGAGUGUCUAAUGUUUUGUAACGCAUGUUUCAUAAAGGUCGUCUACUAUGGAGCACAUGACACUAUGACACCCGUUUCCAUAAGUUGCUACUUCGAACAAAUUGUCAAUAUCACAGGUUAAAGCCUAGCUAGUUAUGGAGAUGGGACAUUAGGAAAGUAUCACGGCUUCAAUCCCUACCCGAGUUAUGAAGGUGGAUCAAUUGGUUGAGCCACAAUCUUAAUGAGCUGAUAUGUGAGCAUAAUUAUUUUUCGCAUGAUGGCCUAUUGGAAGUCUGACGUGGGCGAUGGGUUGUUGGAAAAUCUAACAUUUUCAGCAUUACAUGUGUCAUUU